rnacentral:rRNA from 1 species
GACAUAGGGUGCAAGCGUUGUCCGGAAUCAUUGGGCGUAAAGCGCGUGUAGGCGGCCUUGUAAGUCUGUUCUGAAAGCCCGGGGCUCAACCCCGGGAGGCGGAUGGAUACUGCAAGGCUCGAGUACGGAAGAGGCGAGUGGAAUUCCCGGUGUAGCGGUGAAAUGCGCAGAUAUCGGGAGGAACACCAAUGGCGAAGGCAGCUCGCUGGGACGUUACUGACGCUGAGACGCGAAAGCGUGGGGAGCGAACAGG